rnacentral:rRNA from 1 species
AUUGAACGCUGGCGGCAUGCCUUACACAUGCAAGUCGAGCGGCAGCGCGGGGCAACCCUGGCGGCGAGCGGCGAACGGGUGAGUAAUACAUCGGAACGUGUCCCGUAGUGGGGGAUAACCCGGCGAAAGCCGGACUAAUACCGCAUAUGCUCUACGGAGGAAAGUGGGGGACCCGCAAGGGCCUCAUGCUAUGGGAGCGGCCGAUGUCCGAUUAGCUUGUUGGUGAGGUAACGGCUUACCAAGGCGACGAUCGGUAGCUGGUCUGAGAGGAUGAUCAGCCACACUGGGACUGAGACACGGCCCAGACUCCUACGGGAGGCAGCAGUGGGGAAUUUUGGACAAUGGGGGCAACCCUGAUCCAGCCAUGCCGCGUGCGGGAAGAAGGCCUUCGGGUUGUAAACCGCUUUUGUCCGGAAAGAAAAGGCCACUCCUAAUACGGGUGGUUCUUGACGGUACCGGAAGAAUAAGCACCGGCUAACUACGUGCCAGCCGCCGCAGUAAGAC